GUAUCUGCCCCCUAGUCAGGGAAACUCAGGGAAACCUGAACUAAUACCGGUAGUCUCUUCGGAGUAAAGAUUAUUGCUAGGGGAGGAGUCUGCGGUCUAUCAGCUAGUUGGUGGGGUAAUAGCUCACCAAGGCUAUGACGGAUAUCUGGUCUGAGAGGAUGAUCAGACACAAUGGAACUGAGACACGGUCCAUACUCCUACGGGAGGCAGCAGUGAGGAAUCUUCCACAAUGGACGAAAGUCUGAUGGAGCGACACCGCGUGAAGGUGAAGGUCUAACGAUUGUAAACUUCUUUUCUGAGGGAGCAUAAUGAGAGUACCUCAGGAAUAAGGGGCGGCUAAUUACGUGCCAGCAGCCGCGGUAAUACGUAAGCCCCAAGCAUUACCCGGAAUCACUGGGUGUAAAGGGUUCGUAGGUGGAAAAAUAAGUUGGAUAUGAAAGACCGAAGCU
rnacentral:rRNA from 1 species